GAACCUACAUGAUCUCUUUGCUUUUAUCAAAGGUGUCCUCUAAAUUCCUUUACAUUGGAUACUUGGAGCUGUGCCUUGUUAUCAGGUUGGGGCUGGAGUCACUCAGCACUGCUGACACCAUUCACAGCCCUGUGGGAAGGGUCUUUAACUGCCCCCAGCGACCACCAGCAGGCUAGAAGGACAUGUCCAAGGAGAAAGGCCAGAAGAAGGGAGGUGCAGAUGGACAGAGAGACACCCUCAAAUGGAGCACAAACAGGGAUCUGCUGCUGGUGGUCAGGGAGAGCACCAGGGAAAGCACAGCACAUCCAACCCCUGCAGAGAUUUUGCUCCGACCAAGAAGCCCCUCCAGCAACAGCAUUGUGGGAGUUGCCUCCACACAGGUGUUCAAGCAGAUCCAUCACCUGGCAAACAGCACCAACAACUCAGACUGAAGUCAGGACCAAAAGGGAGCAAGGAACCAAUUGCAGUCCCUCAUUAGAAAUCACUUCUGCUUAAUUCCUGCAACUGCUCUGGGAGCAACUCCAAUUCCGGAGGCUGGAUCUCCACCUAAGCCCUGUCAUCAGAUGCUCCAGUCACGGGAUGCACUUCCAGCUGGAGUGAUGAGCCCUAAUCUCUGUGAUUUGGGAGGACAUCUGGGGACAUGUUCAUCUCUAAACUGC